rnacentral:rRNA from 1 species
GACGAACGCUGGCGGCGUGCUUAACACAUGCAAGUCGAACGGAAAGGCCCUGCUUUUGUGGGGUGCUCGAGUGGCGAACGGGUGAGUAACACGUGAGUAACCUGCUCUUGACUUUGGGAUAACUUCAGGAAACUGGGGCUAAUACCGGAUAGGAGCUCCUGCUGCAUGGUGGGGGUUGGAAAGUUUCGGCAGUUGGGGAUGGACUCGCGGCUUAUCAGCUUGUUGGUGGGGUAGUGGCUUACCAAGGCUUUGACGGGUAGCCGGCCUGAGAGGGUGACCGGCCACAUUGGGACUGAGAUACGGCCCAGACUCCUACGGGAGGCAGCAGUGGGGAAUAUUGCACAAUGGGCGGAAGCCUGAUGCAGCAACGCCGCGUGCGGGAUGACGGCCUUCGGGUUGUAAACCGCUUUCGCCUGUGACGAAGCGUGAGUGACGGUAAUGGGUAAAGAAGCACCGGCUAACUACGUG